UAACUGUAAAAGGGAUGCACAACAAAGAAACAUCCCACCUCUUUUCUCAUGCCUUGUAUGGAAGGUAUGGUAGAAAUCUACGAGCAAGAAUGACACUGGGUUGUUGGUUAGGAAAACUUCCACGAAAAAAUGAUCCAUGAAAUUGUCUAUAUUAGGGAAUAGAACAAUUUCAUGUACCAAUAAUGCUAAUGUUGCACUACAAAAUUCCAGUCUCUUUUUUUUACCAUCUUCCAAGCAUGGUCUUCAAGUAAC
rnacentral:lncRNA from 1 species